rnacentral:rRNA from 1 species
UCAGCUCUAAGUGUAUAUUAAUACUGUUGUAGUUAAACGCCCGUAGUAAACCAAAGGGUUAUAGUUAUUGAUCUGAUCAGUUCUGUUCAUCAUAGUCGGUCACGUAUUGUGGCUGAUUGGGUGAAUAAGGACAGGUCCUCGGUCUCUAACGGAAGCGAAAGGGUCCGCCCAAUUAGCAUCCGCCAUGGGAUAGGUCAAUGAUUAUGGCUCGUUCCCUAUCAGUCCGCAAGGUCUGAUAGGGCCAAUUGGCACAACCGUAAACAAAUCAGAGUGCUCCAAGCAGGCAAUGUACGGGGUAACCCAUUUGCUUGAAUGAUUUAGCAUGGAAUUGUCACGAAGCCGAUCGGAAACUUCAAGGGAUUUCCUGAGAAGUGGAAGAUCCGGCGUUCGCAAUGAGACACUGAUAGAGGAUCCAAGUACUAUGGCGCGAGAGGUGAAAUUCAGUGACCGCUAUAUGACUAUCUAAUGCGAAAGCAGUUGUGAUCCAGAGCGUGUCUGUCAAUCAGGGACGAAAGUUAAGGGAUCGAAGAUGAUUAGAUACCGUCGUAGUCUUAACCGUAAACGAUACCAACACGAGAUUGGUAGUGAGACUUUUAGAUCCUAUCAGAAUCCAAGGGAAACCGUUAAGUUUUUGGGUUCUGGGGGGAGUAUGGUCGCAAGGCUGAAACUUAAAGGAAUUGACGGAAAGGCACCACCAGGAGUGGAGUAUGCGGCUUAAUUCGACUCAACGCGGGGAAACUCACCAAGUUAGGAUGUGAAUAUGAUUGACAGAUUAAGGUUCUUUCUUGAUUUUACAGAAGGUGGUGCAUGGUCGUUCUUAGUUCGUGGAGUGAUUCGUCUUGUUAAUUCAGUUAACGAGCGAGACCUUAACUUGCUAAUUAAGGUACAGGGACUUCUUCGGUUGUCCAUCGUUUCGUUGGGGAAAUGUAUAUUUCCUCAGGAAACCUGUACUGUCACUGUUCGCAGUGAUGCUUCUUAGAGGUACAGCACCCGCUUCAGGGUGAGGAAGUUUAAGGCAAUAACAGAUCUGUGAUGCCCUUAGAUAUCUUGGGCUGCACGCGUACUACAAUAUUAAUAGCAACAAGUAACGUAGAGUCAUCUUUCGGGAUGCAACCCUGGUCCGAAAGGAUUGGGAAAUCUUAUCAAAGAUUAAUGUGACAGGGAUCGAGGUUUGUAAAUCCUCGUGAACGAGGAAUUCCUAGUAAGCAUGAUUCAUCAUGUCGUAUUGGCUUCGUCCCUGCCUUUUGUACACACCGCCCGUCGCUCGUACCGACUGAAUAGAGGUAUGAAUUUGAUGGACCAGCGUUGCUCUAAGCAAUGCGAGAAAAUCAACUGAAUUUCUCUAUUUGAGGAACGAGAAGCGAACAAG